ACUGGACUUGGAGUCAGGA
rnacentral:miRNA from 1 species